GACGAACGCUGGCGGCGUGCUUAACACAUGCAAGUCGAACGAGAACGGGAUAUAGCUUGCUAUAUUUGUCAGCUAAGUGGCGCACGGGUGAGUAAUGUAUAGAUAACCUGCCCUCUAGAAAGGAAUAACAGUUGGAAACGACUGCUAAUGCCCUAUAUGCCUUUAAUACAUAAGUAUGCAAGGGAAACGCUUUAGUGCUAGAGGAUGGGUCUGUAUGGUAUCAGCUUGUUGGUGAGGUAAUGGCUCACCAAGGCUAUGACGCCUAACUGGUUUGAGAGGAUGAUCAGGCACACUGGAACGGAGACACGGUCCAGACUCCUACGGGAGGCAGCAGUGGGGAAUAUUGCACAAUGGACGAAAGUCUGAUGCAGCAACGCCGCGUGGAGGAUGACACAUUUCGGUGCGUAAUCUCCUUUUAUAUAGGAAGAUAAUGACGGUACUAUAUGAAUAAGCACCGGCUAACUCCGUGCCAGCCGCCGCAGUAA
rnacentral:rRNA from 1 species